GGAGGCGUAUUCGGCCUGGUGGCCGGCGCGGUCUUCAAAACCGUUGAACGGCAGGAACUGUCGUUGGCGGGUUCGAUUCCCGUCCGCCUCCGCCA
rnacentral:tRNA from 1 species